CAUAAAUGAGUCAACACCAAUCAUUUUGAAAGUCGCGGAAAACAUACCCGGGCCAAAUUCUUCGUGUACCGGCCAAUCAGGAUCUUUCCCGUGCUGUGACCAAAUCUACGAACUUUUCCACUUCAUCCCUGUAGCUUCGCAAGAAACCGCCCCAAUCCCAUCACAGGACUCUGGGAUUCAGCUACUGCACUUCGAUGCUUUUGAGCUCUACGGCAUCACCUUUCUUGGGCCCAAUCACAAUGCGGUGGAGCAAUACGAACAGCUUCGUGAAUACCUCGACGAGCAGGGCAUUUUAUACUAUGGAACCUUUUAUUAUAUUGCAAUUUAUGACUUUCCAUCGGACCCUCAGCCUCAUCGUACUGAAAUCCUGAUUUCUAUUUAGAAACCCAGAAGAAUGAAUAAUAUGAAGGCACCGAUAACCCGAACGACAGCCCAAGAAAACCAAUGGGAUCGCAGUGGGCGUGGUGGUGGUCAAAGACCACACCUAUCUCAUUCUGUUUUGAGCUGGUCGGCAAACGGCUCCAACCAAGAUUUUAAUGAUUUUAUGCCAUUUCAUUUCAUUUCUUUCAUC